CUAUAAUGCAGUCGAACGCUUCUUUUUCCACCGGAGCUUGCUCCACCGGAAAAAGAAGAGUGGCGAACGGGUGAGUAACACGUGGGUAACCUGCCCAUCAGAAGGGGAUAACACUUGGAAACAGGUGCUAAUACCGUAUAACAAUCAAAACCGCAUGGUUUUGAUUUGAAAGGCGCUUUCGGGUGUCGCUGAUGGAUGGACCCGCGGUGCAUUAGCUAGUUGGUGAGGUAACGGCUCACCAAGGCCACGAUGCAUAGCCGACCUGAGAGGGUGAUCGGCCACAUUGGGACUGAGACACGGCCCAAACUCCUACGGGAGGCAGCAGUAGGGAAUCUUCGGCAAUGGACGAAAGUCUGACCGAGCAACGCCGCGUGAGUGAAGAAGGUUUUCGGAUCGUAAAACUCUGUUGUUAGAGAAGAACAAGGAUGAGAGUAACUGUUCAUCCCUUGACGGUAUCUAACCAGAAAGCCACGGCUAACUACGUGCCAGCAGCCGCGGUAAUACGUAGGUGGCAAGCGUUGUCCGGAUUUAUUGGGCGUAAAGCGAGCGCAGGCGGUUUCUUAAGUCUGAUGUGAAAGCCCCCGGCUCAACCGGGGAGGGUCAUUGGAAACUGGGAGACUUGAGUGCAGAAGAGGAGAGUGGAAUUCCAUGUGUAGCGGUGAAAUGCGUAGAUAUAUGGAGGAACACCAGUGGCGAAGGCGGCUCUCUGGUCUGUAACUGACGCUGAGGCUCGAAAGCGUGGGGAGCAAACAGGAUUAGAUACCCUGGUAGUCCACGCCGUAAACGAUGAGUGCUAAGUGUUGGAGGGUUUCCGCCCUUCAGUGCUGCAGCUAACGCAUUAAGCACUCCGCCUGGGGAGUACGACCGCAAGGUUGAAACUCAAAGGAAUUGACGGGGGCCCGCACAAGCGGUGGAGCAUGUGGUUUAAUUCGAAGCAACGCGUAGAACCUUACCAGGUCUUGACAUCCUUUGAUCACUCUAGAGAUAGAGCUUCUCCUUCGGGGGCAAAGUGACAGG
rnacentral:rRNA from 1 species